CUUGAAACUAUCAUGCUGGUCGUCAUUCAAGAAAUCCUAUUUCUAACUGACCUGCCUUCUGAGCCCGCAAACAUCACGUCGCUGUACCAGUUUAUCGCGGCUUCGGAGAGCUUUGAAAUUUGUCACGGAAAUUAAACUUCCUAUUGUGAAGAAGGAAGCUGUGGAAGUUCAGGCCAAGCUCGAGGAAAUGGUUGCCAAGCAACAACUGAUGUUAGCAGAAUUGAAUCCGCAAACAUUGACUGUCAGCGAGGUUGAAAUGGCGACCGUGUGACAUUGUUUUACACCUUACUACAUUUGAGAACUUUUUAUCUUUUAAUAACCAUGAUUCAUGUUAAAUGGUUACUUGUCCACACGCCAUGUCACUUGCAUUGCAUUCUUUUUUCAUACACGAUAUUUCGAUUAUUGAUAUUAUCGAUUCCUUCUGCCAUAUCGUAUUGAAGACAGAAACGAUAUAUCGUAAUUAUCGAUGAUUACGUGAUAUUUGCAUGUGUGCAUGGCUUUCAUAAAAGCCGAAAACAAUUCUUUUAAUCGUUGAAAAUAUACUUUUAGAAGAAUUGAAAGUAGUUUCUGUUUUUACUUGAUGUUAUUUUACAUUAGUUUAAAGAUAAAGAGCAGAGCCGAGCAAAUAACUUUAAAACCAAACAUAAUAAAAGCAAAAAAAAUAUUUGCUAACGUUUCGUUGUUUAAAAUACAACAUCAUUUCUUCUUUUAUUUUACAUUAAUUAAAAAUAAAACUAUGUGGUUAUUGUUUUUAUUAU